rnacentral:lncRNA from 1 species
GGAGGGGCCGGGAGGGCCGGGUGGUCAUGGAAGCGUUUCUCCGGUACACGAGGGGACGGGGGAGGUGACCUCAGCCGCGGCGUAAGCAGCGCAUCUCUUCCUGCGCCGUGCGGGGCUCCCAGCCCCGUCCUCCUUAGGCAGAGUCGCUGUUGGUACGCGUGGAGAAAGUGCGCGGCUCAACUUCAACACUCGCUCUUCUCAUUCUCACUUCGGACGCCGUGUUUCGCUUAAAAAUGUCUUCUGUAACUUCCAGGUCUGCGCCGAGGCAGUGCUGACAGCAGCCGCCGGCUGUAUUGUAGUGGUCACGGAGUUUGGAGGGUGUCGUGUGCUCCCUGUGCUGCACAUGCACUCUGCUUGCUCUGUGUAAGAGACUGUUGUGCCGUGUUUUGGAGGUGUCUCUGGGAGAUGUCAGAAAUUGAGCAUGAGCUGUCACACUGCAACUGUCAACCCAAGCAGAGACAGGCUUCUCAGGCUGUCCUUAAGCGCUGCUUUCCAUAUGGCCCAUCAUGCACUUCCAGGUACUCUCAGGAUGGUGUUUGCGUGCAGGGGGCAGCAGAGCCCCCAAGAUGUCAUCGACUGUCCCCAGGACACCAGGCUGCUGUUGGAAGGCUCGUACAGAUACAAUCAUCUUUAAGUUUGAGUAACAAGUAUUUAACCUCAAAUGAAGCUUCCUGCAUGCAGCGGAACAGAUAUAUGGUGCAAAAGAAUCACAGCUGUCCAAUCAAGAUGAACAGAAUGGCUUCCUUGACCAAGAAAAUAGAACAUUCGAUUUUUAGGAUGAUAUCUACAACAUGAAGCAUUCAACAGAAGCUGCCUUUGAGAACGUUUAUCUAUGACCUGAAAUGUCCUGAUCCUGGGGAAAAAGAUGAGAUUCCAUUAAUUAAGUCUAUAAUUUCUUAAUGCAUCCUUAUGACUAUUCAUUUUUGCGUCCGCACAACACGGAUACAGAAUUCAUAAACCAGAGAUUAUUUUAACACGUAGAUUUGUGUUUGUGCAUUCAGUAUACAAGAUACAUCAUUUUAAUCAAAUUUCACAUAAUCUUUUAAAUUAUCUGUAUUUAUUAAUAAAUGAAGACGUG